GUCCGUCUGUCCGUCUGUCCGGCGUAAACAUGUCGCACCGUAACUUGAGAACGACUUAUCCAAAUUUCAUGAAACUUAUUAUAGUUGUUUCUUAUGAUGGUCAAAUGAUCUGUAUACUUUUUGGUAAAAAUGAGAUUAAAACUUUUUGAGUUACGGCACUUUGUAACUAAAACAGGGGGGUGUUUUUUUCACAUGUCGCAC
rnacentral:lncRNA from 1 species